rnacentral:rRNA from 1 species
UGAGGAAUAUUGGUCAAUGGGCGAGAGCCUGAACCAGCCAAGUCGCGUGAAGGAAGACAGUCCUAAGGAUUGUAAACUUCUUUUAUACGGGAAUAACGGGCGAUACGAGUAUUGCAUUGAAUGUACCGUAAGAAUAAGCAUCGGCUAACUCCGUGCCAGCAGCCGCGGUAAUACGGAGGAUGCGAGCGUUAUCCGGAUUUAUUGGGUUUAAAGGGUGCGUAGGUUGUUCGGUAAGUCAGCGGUGAAACCUGAGCGCUCAACGUUCAGCCUGCCGUUGAAACUGCCGGGCUUGAGUUCAGUGGCGGCAGGCGGAAUUCGUGGUGUAGCGGUGAAAUGCAUAGAUAUCACGAGGAACUCUGAUUGCGAAGGCAGCUUGCCAUACUGCGACUGACACUGAAGCACGAAGGCGUGGGUAUCAAACAGGAUUAGAUACCCUGGUAGUCCACGCAGUAAACGAUGAUUACUAGGAGUUUGCGAUAUACCGUCAAGCUUCCACAGCGAAAGCGUUAAGUAAUCCACCUGGGGAGUACGCCGGCAACGGUG